GCUCGAAUGUCCCUUUCCUUUAUAUAUUUGUUAUCGCCAAAAGGGGAGCUGCUGACUUGAAAGCAUUAUAGGGAGCGAGAGAGAGAGAGAGCUACCUUGGUGAGGAAGCUGAAAGGAACCAGUGUCCUUAGCGAGAACACAGCCCUACAGCUUUCUCAACUCAGUCCUGUUAUGGACAGAUAUGGCAAGAGACCGGUAUUUUGCCUUCAAUGGCUGGCUAAUCUUGCAAAGCUAGGACUGAAUCACACCUUCAAUGGCUGGCUAAUCUUGCAAAGCUAGGACUGAAUCACAAAGAUGGGAUAGAAACACGAAGCCAACAUCUAAAGUUAGCCUCUCUCUUUUUUCCCUCCUUUCCGGAUUCUUCAAUGUUACUUUUACUUCUCAAAUCAUAAAAUGUCAAUUUAUUGGCAAGUGAGGAAGAUGAAGAAGAAGAAGAAGAAUUGUCAACUAUUAUUUAAAAUGCUGGAUCGUUCUUGUUAACUACCCUCAAUGUCUCUCUUGGCAAUUUAGUAAGAAGCAAGAAAGGCAAAGGUGGAAUCAGACCCCUCCUAUUGAAGACACAGAAAAUGUA